ensembl:lncRNA
UUUUUUUUUUUUUUUUUGAGACGGAGUCUCACUCUAUUGCCCAGGUUGGAGUGGGCAUUGUGGUGACACAAUCUCGGCUCACUGCAACCUCCACCUCCCAGGUUCGAGUCUCCUGCCUUAGCCUCCCAAGUAGCUGGGAGUACAGGCAGGUUCCACACCAGACUAAUUUUUCCAUUUUUGUAGAGACAGGGUUUUACUAUGUUGGCCAGGCUGGUCUCAAACUCCUGACCUCAGGUGAUCUGCCUGCCUCGGCCUCCCAAAGUGCUGGGAUUACAGGUGUGAGCCAUGAUACCAAGCCUAGCAUUUUGCAUUUCUAACACAAAGGUCAGCAGCCUUGAACAUACUGCUCUGUGGAUAUGUACCUAUAAACAGCAGCACAUACACAGGGCUGUGAGAACAAAGGCCCAACAAGCAUUAACAGAAAACUUAAAUUUGAAGGGUGCAUUUAUUUUGUGGUCUGUUCCCCACUCACCCCUAUUUCACUCUGGAGCACCAGGGGACACUGAAUUCCACAAUCAAAGACCAUUCCUUAUAGUUAACAUGCUGGCUGUCAAAAAGCAAAUUUUUGGAAAGGUCAGGAUUAUUUGAUGUAGAGUCCAGAACAUCACAAAUGGCAGGUCUUAAUACAGAAAACUGGACAAAAGGAGUGUGAUUUGAGGGAGUGGGUACCUGGAUUAAAAAUAAGUCUGAGGGUAUGUAAGGCAACUAAAUUCACAUAAAUAAGAAAUUAGAAGAGAAACAAAAGCCCUUUUAAUCUUCAUUAUAUAAUCUCAGUUCCUAGAUAACUUUGUUCUUCAUCCUAUAAUCUCAGUUCCUAGAUAACUUUGUUCUUCAUCCAUCAAAACAGAAAUAUGUAACAUAUUUAAAGAGGUAACAUUAGUUCACUAAGACAACAAAGAUCCUUAAAGGGUUGGGCUAUAUCUGAAAUAUCCAAAAAGGCUGAGUAAUUUGACAAAGAGCCCCCAAAUAAUUUUGAUGUCUCCAUACUCCUUUUCAGAUCUAUUAUUUAAAAGCAGCACUCUGGUCACCCUUUAGCUGCACAGCACACAAAAUAUUUACAAAAAAUGUCACAGAAACUGUUGUCUCCAUUAUUUGGAAGAAAAUGAAGACACAUUUCAGGAUCUGACUUGGCUCAUUGAUUCAAACAAACAUAUUUGGAUGUGCUGGAAGAGAGGAAAGAAAGUGGGAAAGACAGAGACCAAGUCACUUAAGCCAUGUUAUAGACCUGUCAUAAUUCAUUCAUAAUACUGAAAACCUGUUUUGCACAGGUAGUAUUUUCGGUUUGUGUAAUACAAUGCGGUGGGGGGGAGAAAUUAAAAAUUCCCAUUUUCAUGGAGCUUGCAUUCUAUUAGGAAGCAGACAAUAAGCAGAAGUACUACAAAAUACAGUGCUAAUUGUUACGGAAAAAAACACCAAAGAUUUUGGGACAGUCAUGGCAAGGAGUGGUAGCUGUUACAAAUUUGAAUAGGGUAGUCAACUGGCCAUGGAAAGCAGAGUUGCAGGCAUUUGAGCAUCAUAUUUUUUUAGUAUCAUUAUUUAAGUUCCUUUUUUGAAAAAGAUUGGUUGGACAUGGUAGC